rnacentral:rRNA from 1 species
AUAUCAAUAAGCGGAGGAAAAGAAACCAACAGGGAUUGCCUCAGUAACGGCGAGUGAAGCGGCAACAGCUCAAAUUUGAAAUCUGGCCUCUGGCCCGAGUUGUAAUUUGCAGAGGAUGCUUCGGGCGCGGUGCCUUCCAAGUCCCCUGGAACGGGGCGCCGGAGAGGGUGAGAGCCCCGUACGGUUGGCGGCCAAGCCUGUGUGAAGCUCCUUCGACGAGUCGAGUAGUUUGGGAAUGCUGCUCUAAGCGGGAGGUAGACCCCUUCUAAAGCUAAAUACCGGCCAGAGGCCGAUAGCGCACAAGUAGAGUGAUCGAAAGAUGAAAAGCACUUUGAAAAGAGGGUUAAACAGCACGUGAAAUUGUUGAAAGGGAAGCGCUUGCGACCAGACGUGCGCCGGGGUGCUCAGCGGGCGUUCUCGCCCGUGCACUCGCCCCGGCGCAGGCCAGCGUCGGUUUGGGUGGGGGGAUAAAGGCGUCUGGAAUGUGGCUCCUCCGGGAGUGUUAUAGCCAGGCGUGCCAUGCCUCCGCCUAGACCGAGGUACGCGUUCUGCAAGGACGCUGGCGUAAUGGUCUCCAGCGA